AUGAACGCUGGCGGCGUGCCUAAUACAUGCAAGUCGAACGAGUUCUGAUUAUUGAAAGGUGCUUGCAUCUUGAUUUAAUUUUGAACGAGUGGCGGACGGGUGAGUAACACGUGGGUAACCUGCCCUUAAGUGGGGGAUAACAUUUGGAAACAGAUGCUAAUACCGCAUAAAUCCAAGAACCGCAUGGUUCUUGGCUGAAAGAUGGCGCAAGCUAUCGCUUUUGGAUGGACCCGCGGCGUAUUAGCUAGUUGGUGAGGUAACGGCUCACCAAGGCAAUGAUACGUAGCCGAACUGAGAGGUUGAUCGGCCACAUUGGGACUGAGACACGGCCCAAACUCCUACGGGAGGCAGCAGUAGGGAAUCUUCCACAAUGGACGCAAGUCUGAUGGAGCAACGCCGCGUGAGUGAAGAAGGCUUUCGGGUCGUAAAACUCUGUUGUUGGAGAAGAAUGGUCGGCAGAGUAACUGUUGUCGGCGUGACGGUAUCCAACCAGAAAGCCACGGCUAACUACGUGCCAGCAGCCGCGGUAAUACGUAGGUGGCAAGCGUUAUCCGGAUUUAUUGGGCGUAAAGCGAGCGCAGGCGGUUUUUUAAGUCUGAUGUGAAAGCCCUCGGCUUAACCGAGGAAGUGCAUCGGAAACUGGGAAACUUGAGUGCAGAAGAGGACAGUGGAACUCCAUGUGUAGCGGUGAAAUGCGUAGAUAUAUGGAAGAACACCAGUGGCGAAGGCGGCUGUCUGGUCUGUAACUGACGCUGAGGCUCGAAAGCAUGGGUAGCGAACAGGAUUAGAUACCCUGGUAGUCCAUGCCGUAAACGAUGAAUGCUAGGUGUUGGAGGGUUUCCGCCCUUCAGUGCCGCAGCUAACGCAUUAAGCAUUCCGCCUGGGGAGUACGACCGCAAGGUUGAAACUCAAAGGAAUUGACGGGGGCCCACACAAGCGGUGGAGCAUGUGGUUUAAUUCGAAGCAACGCGAAGAACCUUACCAGGUCUUGACAUCUUUUGAUCACCUGAGAGAUCAGGUUUCCCCUUCGGGGGCAAAAUGACAGGUGGUGCAUGGUUGUCGUCAGCUCGUGUCGUGAGAUGUUGGGUUAAGUCCCGCAACGAGCGCAACCCUUAUGACUAGUUGCCAGCAUUUAGUUGGGCACUCUAGUAAGACUGCCGGUGACAAACCGGAGGAAGGUGGGGAUGACGUCAAAUCAUCAUGCCCCUUAUGACCUGGGCUACACACGUGCUACAAUGGAUGGUACAACGAGUUGCGAGACCGCGAGGUCAAGCUAAUCUCUUAAAGCCAUUCUCAGUUCGGACUGUAGGCUGCAACUCGCCUACACGAAGUCGGAAUCGCUAGUAAUCGCGGAUCAGCACGCCGCGGUGAAUACGUUCCCGGGCCUUGUACACACCGCCCGUCACACCAUGAGAGUUUGUAACACCCGAAGCCGGUGGCGUAACCCUUUUAGGGAGCGAGCCGUCUAAGGUGGGACAAAUGAUUAGGGUG
rnacentral:rRNA from 1 species